rnacentral:rRNA from 1 species
UGGUGGAGUGAUUUGUCAGGUUAAUUCCCUUAACGAACGAGACCUUAACCUGCUACAUAGAACAAGUUAACAUCUAGCUUUGUUCUUCUUAGAGGGACUACAGAUUCAAGUCUGUGGAAGUUUGAGGCAAUAACA